rnacentral:rRNA from 1 species
UACGGGGAGGCAGCAGUGGGGAAUAUUGCACAAUGGGCGCAAGCCUGAUGCAGCCAUGCCGCGUGUAUGAAGAAGGCCUUCGGGUUGUAAAGUACUUUCAGUCGUGAGGAAGGUGUUAAGGUUAAUAACCUUAGCAAUUGACGUUAGCGACAGAAGAAGCACCGGCUAACUCCGUGCCAGCAGCCGCGGUAAUACGGAGGGUGCGAGCGUUAAUCGGAAUUACUGGGCGUAAAGGGCACGCAGGCGGUUAAUUAAGUUGGAUGUGAAAUCCCCGGGCUUAACCUGGGAAUGGCAUUCAAGACUGGUUAGCUAGAGUCUUGUAGAGGGGGUAGAAUUCCAUGUGUAGCGGUGAAAUGCGUAGAGAUGUGGAGGAAUACCGGUGGCGAAGGCGGCCCCUGGACAAAGACUGACGCUCAUGUGCGAAAGCGU